UGCCAAGAGAAAUUAGAAGAGAGUGCAGAUUCAGCCGCAGGGGAAAAAAGCUCUGAAUCUACAACACACCCUUUCCCUAGCUGCUCCUGUCAGCACCCUCUCAAAGUGAGGAAAAGAAACCUGUUUUCCUUAUGACAAAGACUGAUUUGAUGAUAAACCUUCUCGGCUUCCCAGGAGGUGGCAGUGACUCUGAUCGGUGAGGAGGAGGCCGAAGGAGUAGACAGUCUGCACCUCCCACUCCAGGGGAAUCUAAUCCACUCAGGCCAAGGGAGGAAAGAGGAGGCGGCCCGAGGCCACACUGUCCAAGGGGGUCGCCAUCCGACUCUGAAGCCUGGAGACCCUGGAGCCCCAGAGUGAGUCUUCCCGAGGCCGUGACCAGAGGAUGUCAGCAUGUGCGUGGAGGCUGGAACUGCUGCUUCUUCAGCAUGGAUCAGAGACCGGCCAAGAGCUCUGGCAGCAGAGUCAGCUAGAGGCCAGCUGUGCUCCGGACAGGAUCAGAAGCUGGCUGUCCUGUGCUUCCUUCCUUUGCUCCUCCUCUUCAUCAGAUCCUUCUUUGUCCCUGUGAGUCUUGCCAUGGGAAGGGCAGGAAGGAGAGGUUCAGUCUUUGUUCUCAGACUAGGUCUGUGUUGCAGACCUAGUAGGGAUGGGCACUGUGGUCCUGGGGCUGGGAUAUGCUUUGAGGAUCAGAACCUGAGGGAGGCAGCCCGGCCAGGAGGCUGGACGAUGGAGAGUUUUGAGGCGCUGAUUUGCCACAUGUUCCACAGGAAAGCCAGG
rnacentral:lncRNA from 1 species